GCAAACUUGGUCAUUUAGAGGAAGUAAAAGUCGUAACAAGGUCUCCGUAGGUGAACCUGCGGAGGGAUCAUUACCGAGUGAGGGCCCACGGUCCGACCUCCAACCCUUUGAAGUUACCAACUCUGUUGCCUCGGGGGCGAACCGGCCUUUGUGAGCCGGUUGCCCCCGGUGGACCAUUGCACUCUGCGUUCCUACGUCGGAGUUCGAGGGGAAUUGUAAUCAAAACUUUCAACAACGGAUCUCUUGGUUCUGGCAUCGAUGAAGAACGCAGC
rnacentral:misc_RNA from 1 species